GGGUAGUUAGCUCAGUUGGGAGAGCAUUUCCUUUACACGGAAAAGGUCGUAGGUUCAAAUCCUACACUGCCCA
rnacentral:tRNA from 1 species